rnacentral:lncRNA from 1 species
CUACAACAAUCUGCUAUCUUAAUAUGUGGUAACAUUUGGCUGUAUUUUGAUAGGUGUUUUAUGUUAUGUUUAUGGUUCAUAACCAUUGUACUUACAUUGUAUUUUGACUUUUAUAUGUUUUAAAAUACACAGACAUAAAUAUAAGAAAAGACUUAUCAGUGGUUAUUACUGAGUGUUAACAUUAUGGAUUAGUUUUAUAUUCUUCAUUACUCUCAUCUGCAUUUUUCUGAGAUUUUACAAUGACAAUGAAUUACUUUUAUGUUAAAAAUAAAGAGGAUAAUUUUAAGUAGCUACACCACACAACACAAAUGGUUAUUUUGAGGGUUAAAUAAAACAGUAUAUAAUAAUAAUCUAGCAAAGAACUCAUAACAGAUAUUCAAUAAAUAAGUUAAUUUUAGUAUAUUAAUUCUAAAAUUAGCAAAUGCAUCCCUUUAAGAUUAAUCCAUGCACAGCUUUUAGCCCUGAAAGUAACUACUGGACACUAAAAAUUAGAACUUACAGAAUCCUUUAUAAUUUUUACUUCUUUACCAUCAUAUAUCUUAUAUUCCAAGGAUGAAGCGAGAAUGAAGAGAAUAAGAUGAAAACAAGAGCAAGAUAUUUUCCUACUGCCUUAUAAUUGUACAAUGUUUCAGAUGCAGGGAUUCUCAAGAGAGGUGAAACUCAAGGAAAUGUCAUUUACUGCUCUAGUUUUCUCAAACUUUACACAAUCCACAAGCAUAUUGGAACAAAAAUGGUGGGGAACGUAAGAGAGAGACUGGAAAAAAUGCUCAUCAGGUAAUUAUAAUACCCCCGCCUCCCCUCCCUAAAAUCAGCUGUUUUGAUCUCUUUAUUAUUCUCCUUCUGCAGUGAAUUCAUAUGGAAGCUACAGAAAACCUUUCUAUAUGAUUUUGAAUGAAUGGGAUGAAUUAUAUUUUAUUAAGUUGAUCAGAACCAUAAAUCCAAUAAUUCCAGAUCACUCAGUGAUAGUUAUUCUUUUGAAAAAAACUUAUAUUUUGUAUCUUUUUGGCAUCUUGGUGUUAUGUUUACUUGAGAGAGGCAAGUACUAAUAGGAAUGGGUCUUAGAAUACUAUAUUUGUGAUAUCUCACUCUUGCACAACUCUUGGAAGGCUUUGUAGGCACAGGCCAUUAACAGUGAUAAUGUUUACCUUCUCUCAGCCUGACACAAAUGUACAGAGAGCUGGUGCACAAUAUUUUAAAUUUCUUAUCAUGGUCACCUUGCAGUUAACUGGCAUAUUCUUCUGGCUCUCCCUUUCCUAGACCUCUGAUCUGUUCCUAUAGUCAAAGUUUCUCAAAGUCCUAUUUACUAAAAAGGACAAUAGCCAGUCCUCACAGUCCAUUUCUGAAGGAGGCAUCUUUCAGAUUUUUCAUAACACUUUCUACAAAAGCAAUAAAGCCUACCACAUGCUCCAUCCCCCCAACUCCCACUUUUAAUUAUUACUUAUACUAAAUAUGUGAUGGUCUAUUAUGGUUAACACAAUCUUUACUUUUUUUGAUGCCUCCCCAUCAUCCCUUUAAAACAAGAGUAAAGAGCAGAAGAAAGAAAUGGAUGAAGUGGAUAUAAGACCUGUCCUGCUACACAAACAAUAUUAAGGUAAGCUGCUGUGCUGUGAGACGGACACAUGUCAAGGAAUUGAAGAGGCCUCUAAGAGUUAAAAGUGGAACCUGAUUGACAGCCAGUCAAAUUGAGACUGCAGUCCUACAACUUCAAGCAACUUAAUUCUGCCAACAAGCAUAUGUGCAUGUAAGAAGACCACGAGCUCCAGAAAAUAAUGCAGCCCAUCCAAGAAUGCAGUCUAUCCAAGACUGAGACCUUGAAAAGAAGACCCACCUAAGUGCUGUGUCACCUAAUCCACAGAAACUAUGAGAUAAUAAAUGUUUGUUAAGUCACUAACAUCGUGAUAAUUUGCUCUGCAGCAAUAGAAAACUCCUACACUAACUAAACCUAAAAUUAAGACCCAGAAGAAUUAAACAGUUCCUAAGUAACUUUGCUAUGUCUGAGAAUAAAGUUCAAAGAUACUUAUAAGCAUACAAGUCCCAAAAUCCAACAAGAUGAAGUUUACAAUGUCUGACAACCAAUGAAAAUUACCAGUGAUACACAAAACAAGAAAAUGAAAAACCAUGGUUAAAAAAAAGAGAGACACUGACACAGAAAUAACACAAAUCAUAGAAUUAAUACACAAAUACAUUAAAGCAGUUACUAAGGCUGUAUUUCUUGUAUUAGGAAAACUGGAAGAAGUAACAUGGAAAAUAUAAAAGAGAUUUAAACCUAAAUUCCAGAGGUAAGAAAAAUAAUGUGUGACUUGAAAAAUACCCUACAAAAAAUUGAAGCUACAUUAAACAUUUCUGGUGACCUACAGGACAAUUUCAAAGAGCCAAAUAUAUGAGUUAUAAAAUUCCAAAAGAGAGAUAUCCAAAAUAAUAAAAAUUGAAAAAAUAAUUGCCAACAGUAUUUUUAAAAUUUGAUGAAAACUAUAAAGCCAUAGAUCUAAGAAAUUAAAUGAAUCUCAACUAGAAGAAUUUUUUUCAAAAACCAACACCAAAACACAUUAUUGUAAAACUGCUUAAUAUCAGCAGUUAAAUUGGGAAAACAAACAAAACAAUCUACAAAGAUCGAGAAGAAAAAGUUACCUUAUAUAUGGAAAAACAAAGAUAAGAAUGACAGAAGCAGAUUUCUUGUCAGACAACACAAGUUAGAAGACAGUAGAGCAACAUUUUUAAAGUGCUGAAAGGAAAAAGUAAACUAGCAUUCCUAUGCAUUUAAGCUCUCUUUCUAAAAACAAAAAUGUAAUAAAAGCUUUUUUACACAAACAAAAGCUUGAAAUAAUUAUUAGCAAACUUGCACUACAAUAAAUGUUGAGGGAAGUCCUUCUGUGUAAAGGAAAAUAACAAACAGAAACUUAUUUCUACAUAAAGGUACAAAGAGUGUCAGAAAUGGUAAUGACAUAAUUAAAACGGCAUAAAUCUAGAGCAUUUUUCUUACUAUUUAAAUAUCUGAUGAAGAUAAUCUUUGACAGUAAAAACAAUAAUGUGUUAUAGGGAUUAUAAUAUGCAGAUGUAAAAUGUAUGAUAACAAUAACAUAAAUUCUAGGAGAGGAAAAAUAAAGGAUUUUUCAGAUGGCCUUUAUACUAUAUAAUAAGUUGUAUAUUAUCAUUUGAAAGUACAUUAUGAUGAGUUACCCGUGAAUCUUAUAACCCCUAAAAUAAUAAACAUGAUAAGACAAGAAGUUAUAACUAAUACAACAAAAUAUGAAAAAAUAAUAGUACAAAUUACUUAAAUAAUCCAAAGGUAGGAAUAAAAAUAGAUUUAAAGAGGAAUACAGAUAAAUGGGACAAAUAGGACACAAAUAGCAAGAUGACAGACACAACUAAGGACCUAUACUAAUAAUCAUUAAGUGUUAUCCGAAAAAUAUCUAAACAUCCCAAUUAAAUGCAGAGUUUUUUUAACUGGCUACAGAAAC